rnacentral:rRNA from 1 species
AGAGUUUGAUCCUGGCUCAGGACGAACGCUGGCGGCAUGCCUCACACAUGCAAGUCGAACGAAGUUUUUUAGAAAGCUUGCUUUCUAAAAAACUUAGUGGCGGACGGGUGAGUAACACGUGGGCAACCUGCCCUACAGAUCGGGAUACCAUCGGGAAACUGAUGUUAAUACCGGAUACGUUCUAAGGAUCGCCUGAUUCUUAGAAGAAAGAUUUUAUCGCUGUAGGAUGGGCCCGCGGUCCAUUAGCUAGUUGGUAGGGUAACGGCCUACCAAGGCGACGAUGGAUAGCUGGUCUGAGAGGACGAUCAGCCACACUGGGACUGAGACACGGCCCAGACUCCUACGGGAGGCAGCAGUGGGGAAUAUUGCGCAAUGGGGGCAACCCUGACGCAGCAAUGCCGCGUGAAGGAUGAAGGCUUUCGGGUCGUAAACUUCUGUCUAGAGGGAUGAAUUUUUGACAGUACCUCUGGAGGAAGCCCCGGCUAACUACGUGCCAGCAGCCGCGGUAAUAC